rnacentral:rRNA from 1 species
UAAUGUACCCUCGUCUCAAAGGUUACCCCAUGCAUGUCUAAUUACAUACUAAAAUAAAGUGAAACCGCAAAAGGCUCAUUAUAACACCUGUAAUUUCUUAAAUCAUAUUCCCAGUACUUGGAUAACUGUGGAAAAUCUAAAGCUAAUACAUGCAAAUAAUGCGAGUAUCGUAAAAUUCUCGUGCAUUUAUUAAACAAACCAAUCGGUCUUCGGACUGUUUUAUAUGGGGAAACUCUAAAUAACUUUGCUGAUCGUAUGGCCUUGUGCCAACAACAAAUCUUUCAAAUGUCUGCCCUAUCAACUUUGAUGUUAGUAUAGAGGACUAACAUGGUUGCAACGGGUAACGGGAAAUCAGGGUUCAAUUCCGGAGAGGGAGCCUGAAAAACGGCUACCACAUCUAAGGAAGGCAGCAGGCGCGUAAAUUACCCACUCCCGGCACGGGGAGGUAGUGACAAAAAAUAACAAUAUAAAACUAGUUAACUAUGUUCUGUAUUUGGAAUGAUUCAAGUUUAAAUCC